rnacentral:rRNA from 1 species
CAGCAGCCACGGUAAUACGAAGGGGGCUAGCGUUGCUCGGAAUGACUGGGCGUAAAGGGCGCGUAGGCGGCGAUCAAAGUCAGGCGUGAGAUUCCUGGGCUCAACCUGGGGGCUGCGUUUGAUACUUGAUUGCUAGAGUGGGGAAGAGGGUCGUGGAAUUCCCAGUGUAGAGGUGAAAUUCGUAGAUAUUGGGAAGAACACCGGUGGCGAAGGCGGCGACCUGGUCCUUGACUGACGCUGAGGCGCGAAAGCGUGAGGAGCAAACAGGAUUAGAUACCCCCGUAGUCCCUGUCUCUUAUAC